GAUGAACGCUGGCGGCGUGCCUAACACAUGCAAGUCGAGCGAACGGACGAGAAGCUUGCUUCUCUGAUGUUAGCGGCGGACGGGUGAGUAACACGUGGAUAACCUACCUAUAAGACUGGGAUAACUUCGGGAAACCGGAGCUAAUACCGGAUAAUAUUUUGAACCGCAUGGUUCAAAAGUAAAAGACGGUCUUGCUGUCACUUAUAGAUGGAUCCGCGCUGCAUUAGCUAGUUGGUAAGGUAACGGCUUACCAAGGCAACGAUGCAUAGCCGACCUGAGAGGGUGAUCGGCCACACUGGAACUGAGACACGGUCCAGACUCCUACGGGAGGCAGCAGUAGGGAAUCUUCCGCAAUGGGCGAAAGCCUGACGGAGCAACGCCGCGUGAGUGAUGAAGGUCUUCGGAUCGUAAAACUCUGUUAUUAGGGAAGAACAUAUGUGUAAGUAACUGUGCACAUCUUGACGGUACCUAAUCAGAAAGCCACGGCUAACUACGUG
rnacentral:rRNA from 1 species